CCUGAGAAACCCAAAAGAUCGAAUGGGGAGAUUCAUCGUCAAUGCAUUUGGUAUAUGUGCGUGUUAUGAUACGAGUUAUCCUUGUGAUAAUGCUUGUACGUGCAUGUUCAUUUUAUUGCUGAAUGUUGUCGGCGUGCACUUCUCCCCUAGUAGGACGUCGUGACCCGUUGGGUGUCGGUCUAUGGCCCGGAUGGUAGUCUUUAAUUUUUAUAAUUGAAGACCACCGGUGACCUAAUCGGCUGCUCGGCGGUAUUCGCACGAUAAUGAGUCGCAAUAUAUUAUUUAUAUGCGUCAGGCCCAUCGCAAGCGAGGCCAGUAAUCCCGGUAGUGCGGAUUUAAUGCCGUCACUGGGGCUGGCCAGCUGUUGGUUGUAUGGUGUUCUUUGACUGGCUCAAAUAUUGAUUCUCGGUCGGCGACGCUNCUGCUUUGGGUACUUUCAGG
rnacentral:rRNA from 1 species